rnacentral:lncRNA from 1 species
CACCUGCUCGGCGGAGAUCCUCUUCCACCCUUUCAAGAGGUGGAUGCUCCAGCAGCUCCAGGGGGAGGACGCCGAGUUUGCCGCCGCGGCCGACGGCGACGACCAGGACGCCUUCGUGCUGCCCGGCGUGGCCAUGGAUAUAUAACCGAUGGAUCGAUCGGAAGCAUAUGCGUGUCGUCGAGGAGAGACCCCACCUGAUCUCCGAUCCAUCCAGAUCGUCUUUCAAUUCGUGAGUUUGCGUUUCGGUGGCGUACGCGUGCAUGGAAUAAUGUCGUUGUUCCUGCUCCCCCGAGCAAACAACAACGCAGUGUAGUAAUAUGUGAAAAUAAUUAAACACUGAGACGUACGAAGACAAUAAUGGUACGGUGAUCUCCUCCUCUUCUACGACGAGUUCCUUCUAUUCCUACUCAUCAGGGAAGAUGUGGCCGUGUUUAUCUAGCUCUUCUGCUUUGCGCCGCCUCACCAAGCUCACUGCCCGCAGCGUCGCCGCAUGGCCACAUCCCACAUCUUAAAUUCGGUGGUUCAAUAACAUAAAUAUGGUCCCCUGGUCCCGCAAAAUUACGUUGACUGCCGCUUAAAUUCUACGUUGAUUUGCAUCAAUAUUCUUCAUGCUGUGUUAUAUAUUAUAAAAGAGAUCCUUCCUAAUCAAGUGACAAUUUGCUGU